rnacentral:rRNA from 1 species
AUUGAACGCUGGCGGCAUGCCUUACACAUGCAAGUCGAACGGUAACGGGCCUUCGGGUGCCGACGAGUGGCGAACGGGUGAGUAAUACAUCGGAACGUGCCCGAUCGUGGGGGAUAAUGAGGCGAAAGCUUUGCUAAUACCGCAUACGAUCUACGGAUGAAAGCAGGGGACCGCAAGGCCUUGCGCGGACGGAGCGGCCGAUGGCAGAUUAGGUAGUUGGUGGGAUAAAAGCUUACCAAGCCGACGAUCUGUAGCUGGUCUGAGAGGAUGAUCAGCCACACUGGGACUGAGACACGGCCCAGACUCCUACGGGAGGCAGCAGUGGGGAAUUUUGGACAAUGGGCGCAAGCCUGAUCCAGCCAUGCCGCGUGAAGGAUGAAGGCCUUCGGGUUGUAAACUGCUUUUGUACGGAACGAAAAGCCUUCUUUUAAUACAGGAGGGUCAUGACGGUACCGUAAGAAUAAGCACCGGCUAACUACGUG